UACGUAGGGGGCUAGCGUUGUCCGGAUUCAUUGGGCGUAAAGAGUGUGUAGGCGGUCCGGUAAGUCCGCUGUGAAAGUCGGGGGCUCAACCCUCGAAUGCCGGUGGAUACUGUCGGGCUAGAGUGCGGAAGAGGCGAGUGGAAUUCCUGGUGUAGCGGUGAAAUGCGCAGAUAUCAGGAGGAACACCUAUUGCGAAGGCAGCUCGCUGGGACGUAACUGACGCUGAGACGCGAAAGCGUGGGGAGCAAACAGG
rnacentral:rRNA from 1 species